GACGAACGCUGGCGGCGUGCCUAAUACAUGCCAGUAGAACGCUGAAGGAGGAGCUUGCUUCUCUGGAUGAGUUGCGAACGGGUGAGUAACGCGUAGGUAACCUGCCUGGUAGCGGGGGAUAACUAUUGGAAACGAUAGCUAAUACCGCAUAAUAGUAGAUGUUGCAUGACAUUUGCCUAAAAGGUGCAAUUGCAUCACUACCAGAUGGACCUGCGUUGUAUUAGCUAGUUGGUGGGGUAACGGCUCACCAAGGCGACGAUACAUAGCCGACCUGAGAGGGUGAUCGGCCACACUGGGACUGAGACACGGCCCAGACUCCUACGGGAGGCAGCAGUAGGGAAUCUUCGGCAAUGGACGGAAGUCUGACCGAGCAACGCCGCGUUAGUGAAGAAGGUUUUCGGAUCGUAAAGCUCUGUUGUAAGAGAAGAACGAGUGUGAGAGUGGAAAGUUCACACUGUGACGGUAACUUACCAGAAAGGGACGGCUAACUACGUG
rnacentral:rRNA from 1 species